CUAUUUUUAUGACUGAAUUAUGGAAAUACAGCAGUUGUUUUACUGGAAAAUGUUAUAUUGUAUUAAGAUGGACUGGGCAUCAAAGUAACUUAACAGGAAAGGCUGUAGAGAGCAGAAGAAGACAGGCAGCAUGAUACAGAUAUCAACCCUCCUGCUCCAUUCAUCUCGCUGAGCAGACCACCCAGUGUAUGAACACAAGACUUUCAAAUCUGGUGCCUAAUUCCUGAGUGAGUCAGUCAUGUCAGCCCUGGUAUCAGCUUGGCAGCCUUUCUGUGAGAGUUCAGGCAUUGUGCUGCAGCUUGCCUCUCUGCAUAAUCACAGGCAUGUUGUCUCAUUUAUACUGAAUGUGAACUUUAAACUUUAUCUGUCCAUUAGGUGACCUAAAACUAUUUCAACCCUGACAUUUUAGUUCUUGUUCAGUUUCAGUCUUUCAUCUGCACUCACUGUUGUCUCUGUGGGUAGUUUCUUAAAGCACAAUCUCGUAACACCUGUUUGCUCCUUGUGGUUUUCCUGUACUUCAGCCCUUUGCUGCAUGCUGAACCUUUAUCUGUGAUUACUGUCUGCUUGUGAAAGUAGUUUUCUUUAAAGCAUACUUUAAAAGGGACAAGGUGAAGCAUCUUGACAAGUUCAAAGAAACUUACUAAAUACAACCAGUUAAUCUUAAAUGUAAGAAGAAAUUCUGCUAAAGCAGAAUGUAUUUUUUCUUCCUUCAACAUGAUUAAAGGAAGUCACCAGCUUCUGAAGGCACCAAGAUUGUGAAUUUCUAGAAGUCAUUAAAAGCAAAUGUUUUAAUAAAAAUGUAUUUAAAGAAAGGUGUAUAAAUUAGUGUGUAAAAUAUGUUUUUCUCCA